GUCUUCGUGGUUUAAUCGGAAGAACACCAGAAUUGUGCGGUAGACCUCGGGUUCGAACCCCGGUGAAAGGCA